rnacentral:rRNA from 1 species
UGACGAAGUGGCGAACGGGUGAGUAAUACAUCGGAACGUGCCCGAUCGUGGGGGAUAACGGAGCGAAAGCUUUGCUAAUACCGCAUACGAUCUACGGAUGAAAGCAGGGGACCCUCGGGCCUUGCGCGAACGGAGCGGCCGAUGGCAGAUUAGGUAGUUGGUGGGAUAAAAGCUUACCAAGCCGACGAUCUGUAGCUGGUCUGAGAGGACGACCAGCCCACACUGGGAACUGGAGACACGGCCCAGACUCCCUACGGGAGGCAGCAGUGGGGAAUUUUGGACAAUGAGGCGAAAGCCUGAUCCAGCAAUGCCGCGUGCAGGAUGAAGGCCUUCGGGUUGUAAACUGCUUUUGUACGGAACGAAAAGUCUCGGGAUAAUACCCUGGGACCAUGACGGUACCGUAAGAAUAAGCACCGGCUAACUACGU